GACGUAGGGCGCGAGCGUUGUCCGGAUUUAUUGGGCGUAAAGAGCGCGCAGGCGGUAUGACAAGUCAGAUGUGAAAGAGGCCGGCUUAACCGGCAAGGGUCAUUUGAAACUGUCAGACUAGAGUGCAGCAGAGGAUAGUGGAAUUCCCGGUGUAGUGGUGAAAUGCGUAGAUAUCGGGAGGAACACCAGUGGCGAAGGCGACUAUCUGGGCUGCAACUGACGCUGAGGCGCGAAGGCUAGGGGAGCAAACGGG
rnacentral:rRNA from 1 species